rnacentral:sRNA from 1 species
CGCUGCAGCCCUUCCAAGGACGUUUCCUCCCGUGACUUCGGGCCGCUGCUUGAGGGCGGCCUCUUUUGUUCCGAGC